GUGCUUCCUUCAGGUGCACAUAUACCAAAGUUGGAAUGAUACAGAGGAGAUUAGCAUGGCCCCUGCACAAAGACGACAUGCAAAUUCGUGCAGCAUUUCAUUUUUUC
ensembl:snRNA U6 U6 spliceosomal RNA